rnacentral:tRNA from 1 species
GGUUCCAUAGUGUAGCAGCACGUCUGCUUUACAUGCAGAAGGUCCUGGGUUUGUGCUCCAGUGGAGCCA